AUGACCACUGUUCGUACCCUUCUUGCCGUUGCCUCUGCACGCCACUGGUCUAUAUCUCAGCUUGAUGUUAAGAAUGCCUUUCUUAAUGGUGAGCUGCGUGAGGAGGUGUACAUGCAGCCACCACCUGGGUAUUCUGUUCCUGAUGGCAUGGUAUGUCGUCUUCGUCGCUCUCUCUAUGGCCUUAAGCAAGCCCCCCGCGCCUGGUUCGAGCGUUUUGCCUCUGUGAUCACUGCUGCUGGUUUUUCAGCAAGUGCUCAUGAUCCAGCAUUGUUUAUUCACCUUUCUCCUCGUGGUCGGACUCUUCUUCUUCUCUAUGUUGAUGACAUGAUCAUCACUAGGGAUGACCCCGAGUAUAUUGCCUUUGUAAAGGCCCGUCUUAGUGAACAGUUUCUUAUGUCUGAUCUUGGACCUCUUCGCUACUUUCUUGGGAUUGAAGUCUCUUCUACCUCUGAUGGCUUUUUUAUAUCCCAGGAAAAGUAUAUUCAGGAUCUUCUUGCUCGUGCUGCUCUUACUAAUGAGCGUAUUGUUGAGACUCCUAUGGAGCUCAAUGUUCACCUCCGUGCUACUGAUGGUGAUCCUCUCCCUGACCCGACGCGUUAUCGUCAUCUUGUUGGCAGUCUUGUCUAUCUAGCUGUCACUCGUCCGGACAUCUCUUAUCCGGUUCAUAUUCUGAGUCAGUUUGUCUCUGCUCCCACAUCGGUUCACUAUAGUCAUCUCCUUCGUGUUCUCCGAUAUCUUCGGGGCACGAUCUCUCACCGUCUAUUCUUUCCUCGCUCCAGUUCUUUACAGCUUCAGGCCUAUUCGGAUGCUACGUGGGCUAGUGAUCCUUCCGAUCGCCGUUCACUUUCUGCUUACUGUGUUUUUCUUGGCGGUUCUCUCAUUGCCUGGAAGACGAAGAAACAGAUUGCAGUUUCCCGUUCGAGUGCAGAGGCUGAGUUGCGAGCAAUGGCUCUUUUGACGGCAGAGGUGACUUGGUUACGGUGGUUACUUCAGGAUUUUGGUGUUUCUGUCACUACACCGACCCUGCUCUUAUCUGACAGUACAGGUGCUAUUAGCAUUGCGCGCGAUCCUGUGAAGCAUGAGCUCACCAAGCAUAUUGGUGUUGAUGCUUUCUAUGUGCGUGCUGGUGUGCAGGAUCAGGUUAUUGCUCUUCAGUAUGUGCCUUCCGAGUUACAGUUGGCGGAUUUCCUGACGAAGGCCCAGACUAGAGCACAACAUGGCUUUUAUCUCUCCAAACUCAGUGUUGUUCAUCCACCAUGA
rnacentral:rRNA from 1 species